rnacentral:rRNA from 1 species
AGAGUUUGACCAUGGCUCAGAUUGAACGCUGGCGGCAGGCCUAACACAUGCAAGUCGAACGGUAACAGGAAGAAGCUUGCUUCUUUGCUGACGAGUGGCGGACGGGUGAGUAAUGUCUGGGAAACUGCCUGAUGGAGGGGGAUAACUACUGGAAACGGUAGCUAAUACCGCAUAACGUCGCAAGACCAAAGAGGGGGACCUUCGGGCCUCUUGCCAUAGGAUGUGCCCAGAUGGGAUUAGCUAGUAGGUGGGGUAACGGCUCACCUAGGCGACGAUCCCUAGCUGGUCUGAGAGGAUGACCAGCCACACUGGAACUGAGACACGGUCCAGACUCCUACGGGAGGCAGCAGUGGGGAAUAUUGCACAAUGGGCGCAAGCCUGAUGCAGCCAUGCCGCGUGUAUGAAGAAGGCCUUCGGGUUGUAAAGUACUUUCAGCGGGGAGGAAGGGAGUAAAGUUAAUACCUUUGCUCAUUGACGUUACCCGCAGAAGAAGCACCGGCUAACUCCGUGCCAGCAGCCGCGGUAAUACGGAGGGUGCAAGCGUUAAUCGGAAUUACUGGGCGUAAAGCGCACGCAGGCGGUUUGUUAAGUCAGAUGUGAAAUCCCCGGGCUCAACCUGGGAACUGCAUCUGAUACUGGCAAGCUUGAGUCUCGUAGAGGGGGGUAGAAUUCCAGGUGUAGCGGUGAAAUGCGUAGAGAUCUGGAGGAAUACCGGUGGCGAAGGCGGCCCCCUGGACGAAGACUGACGCUCAGGUGCGAAAGCGUGGGGAGCAAACAGGAUUAGAUACCCUGGUAGUCCACGCCGUAAACGAUGUCGACUUGGAGGUUGUGCCCUUGAGGCGUGGCUUCCGGAGCUAACGCGUUAAGUCGACCGCCUGGGGAGUACGGCCGCAAGGUUAAAACUCAAAUGAAUUGACGGGGGCCCGCACAAGCGGUGGAGCAUGUGGUUUAAUUCGAUGCAACGCGAAGAACCUUACCUGGUCUUGACAUCCACGGAAGUUUUCAGAGAUGAGAAUGUGCCUUCGGGAACCGUGAGACAGGUGCUGCAUGGCUGUCGUCAGCUCGUGUUGUGAAAUGUUGGGUUAAGUCCCGCAACGAGCGCAACCCUUAUCCUUUGUUGCCAGCGGUCCGGCCGGGAACUCAAAGGAGACUGCCAGUGAUAAACUGGAGGAAGGUGGGGAUGACGUCAAGUCAUCAUGGCCCUUACGACCAGGGCUACACACGUGCUACAAUGGCGCAUACAAAGAGAAGCGACCUCGCGAGAGCAAGCGGACCUCAUAAAGUGCGUCGUAGUCCGGAUUGGAGUCUGCAACUCGACUCCAUGAAGUCGGAAUCGCUAGUAAUCGUGGAUCAGAAUGCCACGGUGAAUACGUUCCCGGGCCUUGUACACACCGCCCGUCACACCAUGGGAGUGGGUUGCAAAAGAAGUAGGUAGCUUAACCUUCGGGAGGGCGCUUACCACUUUGUGAUUCAUGACUGGGGUGAAGUCGUAACAAGGUAACCGUAGGGGAACCUGCGGUUG